rnacentral:rRNA from 1 species
UGGCUCAGAUUGAACGCUGGCGGCAGGCUUAACACAUGCAAGUCGAACGGUAACAUAAAGAAGCUUGCUUCUUUGAUGACGAGUGGCGGACGGGUGAGUAAUGCUUGGGAAUCUAGCUUAUGGAGGGGGAUAACUACGGGAAACUGUAGCUAAUACCGCGUAAUAUCGAAAGAUUAAAGUGUGGGACCUUCGGGCCACAUGCCAUAGGAUGAGCCCAAGUGGGAUUAGGUAGUUGGUGAGGUAAAGGCUCACCAAGCCGACGAUCUCUAGCUGGUCUGAGAGGAUGACCAGCCACACUGGGACUGAGACACGGCCCAGACUCCUACGGGAGGCAGCAGUGGGGAAUAUUGCGCAAUGGGGGCAACCCUGACGCAGCCAUGCCGCGUGAAUGAAGAAGGCCUUCGGGUUGUAAAGUUCUUUCGGUAGCGAGGAAGGCAUUUAGUUUAAUAGACUAGAUGAUUGACGUUAACUACAGAAGAAGCACCGGCUAACUCCGUGCCAGCAGCCGCGGUAAUACGGGAGGGUGCGAGCGUUUAAUCGGAAUAACUGGGGCGUAAAGGGCACGCAGGCGGUGACUUAAGUGAGGUGUGAAAGGCCCCGGGCUUAACCUGGGAAUUGCAUUUCAUACUGGGUCGCUAGAGUACUUAGGGAGGGGUAGAAUUCCACGUGUAGCGUGAAUGCGUAGAGAUGUGGAGGAUACGAAGCGAAGCAGCCCUUGGAUGUACUGACGCUCAUGUGCGAAAGCGUGGGAGCCAACAGGAUAGAUACCCUG